rnacentral:rRNA from 1 species
GGACUACUGGGGUAUCUAAUCCUGUUUGCUACCCACGCUUUCGUGCCUCAGCGUCAGUUACGGUCCAGAAAGCCGUUUACACCACCGGUGUUCCUCCUGAUAUCUACGCAUUUCACCGCUACACCAGGAAUUCCACUUUCCUCUCCCGCACUCUAGCCCUGCAGUUAAUAGCGCACCCUCCCAGUUAAGCCGGGAGAUUUCACACCAUACUUACAAGGCCGCCUACGCACCCUUUACGCCCAGUAACUCCGAACAACGCUUGCUGCCUACGUAUUACCGCGGCUGCUGGCAC